rnacentral:rRNA from 1 species
GGCGGGACACGUGGUAUCCUGUCUGAAUAUGGGGGGACCAUCCUCCAAGGCUAAAUACUCCUGACUGACCGAUAGUGAACCAGUACCGUGAGGGAAAGGCGAAAAGAACCCCGGCGAGGGGAGUGAAAAAGAACCUGAAACCGUGUACGUACAAGCAGUGGGAGCACAGAGCAAUCUGUGUGACUGCGUACCUUUUGUAUAAUGGGUCAGCGACUUAUAUUCUGUAGCAAGGUUAACCGAAUAGGGGAGCCGAAGGGAAACCGAGUCUUAACUGGGCGUUAAGUUGCAGGGUAUAGACCCGAAACCCGGUGAUCUAGCCAUGGGCAGGUUGAAGGUUGGGUAACACUAACUGGAGGACCGAACCGACUAAUGUUGAAAAAUUAGCGGAUGACUUGUGGCUGGGGGUGAAAGGCCAAUCAAACCGGGAGAUAGCUGGUUCUCCCCGAAAGCUAUUUAGGUAGCGCCUCGUGAAUUCAUCUCCGGGGGUAGAGCACUGUUUCGGCAAGGGGGUCAUCCCGACUUACCAACCCGAUGCAAACUGCGAAUACCGGAGAAUGUUAUCACGGGAGACACACGGCGGGUGCUAACGUCCGUCGUGAAGAGGGAAACAACCCAGACCGCCAGCUAAGGUCCCAAAGUCAUGGUUAAGUGGGAAACGAUGUGGGAAGGCCCAGACAGCCAGGAUGUUGGCUUAGAAGCAGCCAUCAUUUAAAGAAAGCGUAAUAGCUCACUGGUCGAGUCGGCCUGCGCGGAAGAUGUAACGGGGCUAAACCAUGCACCGAAGCUGCGGCAGCGACACUAUGUGUUGUUGGGUAGGGGAGCGUUCUGUAAGCCUGUGAAGGUGUACUGUGAGGUAUGCUGGAGGUAUCAGAAGUGCGAAUGCUGACAUAAGUAACGAUAAAGCGGGUGAAAAGCCCGCUCGCCGGAAGACCAAGGGUUCCUGUCCAACGUUAAUCGGGGCAGGGUGAGUCGACCCCUAAGGCGAGGCCGAAAGGCGUAGUCGAUGGGAAACAGGUUAAUAUUCCUGUACUUGGUGUUACUGCGAAGGGGGGACGGAGAAGGCUAUGUUGGCCGGGCGACGGUUGUCCCGGUU